UGACUGUAGCUAGGGCAGGCUCUGU
rnacentral:piRNA from 1 species